rnacentral:ncRNA from 1 species
GUUUGUUUAACUAUGGCAAUGGAAAGCGUUCAAUGGUCGAAUUGCAUAAAAUUAUUAUAUAUUAGCAUUUAAUGAUAUCGCUUAUGUUUGAUUAGCAGUUAGUAUUUUGUUUGAAUUAGGGUUCUUUUAAGGGAUCAUUGUUCGAUGGGGAUAGGACACAGUGCCAGCAUCCGCGGUUAAUCUGUUUUCUUUGCUUUCGUUAGGUCACUUUUUGAAUAAAUAGGUUUUAGGUUGGGUGAAAUUUUCUUGAGUUAGUAAAUUUUAUUCAAGUCUUUUUAAGCAGUAUUAAAUGACAGGGAUUAGAUACCCCAUUAAUUUACUGUUUAAGAUUUGGGCCUAGUUUUAUAACUAAAAUAGUUUGGCAGCGAGUUACUCCUGUUGGGGGAAGGUGCGUAGUAAAGGACGUUCCGCCAAUUAAUUUACCUGGUUUAUGUUGGUGUAUAUCUGGUUUGAUAUUAUUGCUUAGUAGCUUUAAUUUGUGUAGUUAAAUUUAAGCCAAGUCUAUGUGCUGCAUGAUUAGGUUUUCGUGCGUUACUAUUAUAAAGUUGUGUAUUGUAACAUAUAUUUCAUAUUUAGGACUCAAAAGUAAUACAGUUUAGUGUGUCUGUGUGAAAUGGGUUUAACUCGGGUACACACCGCCCGUCAUCCUCGAUUAUUGUUGAGGCAAGUCGUAACAUGGUAACCCCAGAUGAAUCUGGGGUUAAUUGCCUUUGGUUAU